CUUCUAUUCCUUUGUUAAAGUACUCGUUUACUCAAGUUUCCUUCAUGAUACCAAAAACACCAGUUUCUUUUAGGGGUAGAAUAAAAGAAAAUUUUCAGUCUGCCUUCUUCACUAAAUUCUUAAAUUCAGCCAACACAAUUUCCUUGGUGACCCAGAGACUAAGCAUUCAAAAAUAUUUGCAGGGUAUCUUCAGGAUUUGGUGUAUAAACUAAGUAAAGUUGGUAAAGCAAUUGAAAACAGUGAUCUAUCUACAGCUGCUUCUGUGUUUGGGAGUGGCACUGAUACUGAUUGGGUGCAAAAUGCUAAUAUAUCUUUGAAUAAGUGCUGAAGAAAAGACUGCGGUGGACACAUUCAAUUCCUCACUAGCUUCAUUGAUUUCAUCAGUUGCUGGGAAAGACGUUGAGUCCUCCAAACUUGCCUUUGUGUCUUCGGUCAGUGCAUUUGAGAAGUGGAGCUCCUUGAUGGGGCUGGUUGUUCAGCUUAAAGGGCUUUGAAGAAAGCUACAACACAUUUUAUCUCAUCUCAAAAUUUGUUAAAUACAGAGAAUUCCAUUAACUUUCUGUCUGGGUCACCUAAUUGGUGUCUUGGUGCAGUCUCAUUUCAGCUUUUAUCUAUCACCAUACAGAAUGUUAAGUUUGAGCACGAGUGUGCAUAGUCUCACUCAAAAUUGCAAUUUUGAUGUUGUCGAGAAUUUAACAAAAUGUUUUUUUUUUUUAACGAACAGCACAAAUAAAAGAACUUUGAAGUUGUAGGGUAAUCAAAAUCAACUUGAGGUUUGAGACUUUGAGUGAAAGAAUGAACCAUUCUUUGAUUCUUUGGUUUCAUUG